rnacentral:rRNA from 1 species
AGGGGCAGCAUCAUCAAAGCUUGCUUUGAUGGAUGGCGACCGGCGCACGGGUGAGUAACACGUAUCCAACCUGCCGACAACACUGGGAUAGCCUUUCGAAAGAAAGAUUAAUACCGGAUGGCAUAGUUUUCCCGCAUGGGAUAAUUAUUAAAGAAUUUCGGUUGUCGAUGGGGAUGCGUUCCAUUAGGCAGUUGGCGGGGUAACGGCCCACCAAACCAACGAUGGAUAGGGGUUCUGAGAGGAAGGUCCCCCACAUUGGAACUGAGACACGGUCCAAACUCCUACGGGAGGCAGCAGUGAGGAAUAUUGGUCAAUGGACGAGAGUCUGAACCAGCCAAGUAGCGUGAAGGAUGACUGCCCUAUGGGUUGUAAACUUCUUUUAUACGGGAAUAAAGUUAGCCACGUGUGGCUUUUUGUAUGUACCGUAUGAAUAAGGAUCGGCUAACUCCGUGCCAGCAGCCGCGGUAAUACGGAGGAUCCGAGCGUUAUCCGGAUUUAUUGGGUUUAAAGGGAGCGUAGGCGGGUUGUUAAGUCAGUUGUGAAAGUUUGCGGCUCAACCGUGAAAUUGCAGUUGAUACUGGGUGUCUUGAGUACAGUAGAGGCAGGCGGAAUUCGUGGUGUAGCGGUGAAAUGCUUAGAUAUCACGAAGAACUCCGAUUGCGAAGGCAGCUUGCUGGACUGUAACUGACGCUGAUGCUCGAAAGUGUG